CUUAUAUUUUAAAGAUAAAUAUUCCAAUAUGUUCAAGCAUGUGGAUCUCCAUUUAUUCGAAAUUAUACUCCAAGGUCUCACUGUGAUGGAAUCAUUCUUCUUCUGCAGCGGGUUUAUGGUAAUGUAUCUGAGACAAAAAAGUGGACGAAACUCUGCGAAAUACUAUAUCAUGUUUACAGUCAAGCGAGUUAUCAGAUAUACACUUCCGAUAUUCUUCGCUUUGGGCUUCACAAUUCUUCUGCCUCUUCUUGGAGAUGGUCCUCAUUGGCAUAUUAUAAUUAGUCAGGGA